GAGGGAUGGCAGGGAAACUAGAUAUACAUAUGAACAGCAAGAGCAGGCUGAUUUGAGAAAGAGAAAGAAGAGGUUAUGUUCCUGAGCGUGAUGCAGUGAUUGAGCAGUUGGAUAGAAGCCAAAAAAAAAACCAACAACACAAGAUCUGUUUACUCUUCCAAUAUUAAUUUAGAAAGCAAUAAAGAAGACUGGAAUCUGCUGCUGCUUCUCCCUCGGGCGAGACAAGUGCUGACACACCUUUCCGAAGGUCUCUGGAAUGUUGUAUGGGAAAGACGUGAGGGAACUGCAUGUGAAACUGUGACUAACGAAGAAGGGGAGAGGAAGUCUAACCUGCGAACACAAGGAACAGAAUAUGAGAACUUAUGCUGAGUGAAGGAGGGGUUUGAUAAGUGUAUGUGUGCGAGGGAGGAAGAAGCAAAGUGCCUGCACAGUAAAAAGGGGCGUGGAGGUUUCACACUGAGUUUCACUCCUGGCUCUCAAUCCUGUCAUUCAACAACUUAUAUGGCACUGGGUUUUCACAGGGACAGGUCUGCCUCAGAGCCGUUGUCUUUUUGGACUCGUACGACAAUGACAGCAGUGGUGUUUGGAUGAACACGUGUGGAAAUCUUCAUAUCUAAAGGAAGAAGCUUUGUGUGGCGGCAGUCACCUUUUAAACCAGAAUUUGUUUAGGAAUAAAAGAAGACAAGUGACCUGCCUACCAUCUCAUUAAAACACUGGACAGAAGAAAUCCCUUGUUUCACUGAGUGUAUUCAGACUGAGGAGUGGAAUCAAAACAGCUUUUAAAUUUGUUCAGAAAUGUCUAAUUCACCUCAGAUGGCGGAUGAAGUCCAUCUGACUCUCAUCGCAGGGUCAAGUGACGCACAGAAUAACAGCACUUGCAAUCAAGUGAUCAUCAGCCUCGAACAGCGUGCUGCCUCCUGCUGCGAGGACAAUAACCACAGGAAACUCGCCAUCAGCAGCAUCAUCUGUGGGAUCUCCUGCAUUGGAAUCAUGGCUCUGAUAAACUCAGUCAAGGCUGAGGAGGCAAAAGAUCCAAGGACAGCUGCAAAGUUUACACAACGGGCGAAGAAAUAUGGCAUCAUCUCCAUCGUGACAUGGGUUGCCAUUCUGGUUUUAACUCCCGUACUAAUGGUACUGAUCUCAUAUCUCCUCACUCUGCAGGACUGAUCAACUCUGAUAAACUUCUACAGAAGAUUUACCAGUGGAGCCGAUGUUCUGAUUUUGGAUGUUAAUGGAAACAGCCAGCGGACAGUUACUAAAGCAGCUUAUCAGCUAUAAAAACCUGUGAAGACAUGAAGAAACUGGUAGUUACAUGAACAACAAAAAGACUUUCCUGUGCUGAUAAAAUCACAGCAGUUUACACUUUUCUACUUCCUCUUAUCCACUCAGUUGUUUUUUAUACACAAGGAACCAAAAAAAAUGGUAUUAAAAAUCUUAAAACUUUUACAUGUUUUUUAUACACUGUAAUAUUUAUUUAACAAUAUAUGAACAACUCAGAAUCUAAAUGACCAUAUAAAAUCCAGCAUUAACUAUAGUUUGAGACACUACAUGACACAUAGACAUUAUUUAUAUUUAUAUAUAUAUAUAUAUAAAAAUAAAGAUAAGAAGUCAUUCCCGAGUAACGACCCAAUCCUUAAUACUUAUGCACCUCAAAUGCCAUAACAAUUUAACAUGUUGGUUCUUAGAUAUUGUAUAUACUUGCAGAUAUUACCAAAUAAUAAGUUACUCAAUCUGUCUAAUCUAUAAAGUGUAAACAUAAACGUGUUGAUCAAGGAUUGGGUCUUUACUCCAAUACAACGGGAUGGCAGUGAUCAUAGCAGUGCGUCUUCAGAACAUUAUGAGAUCCUCUGGUUGCCAAUAUUAUAUUUGGCAUUACUGCAUUGGUUUUUUUUAUGUAUUAGCUUCAUUAUUGUCAAAAUGUAUCAAUAUGUUGUACUUUUAUACAAACAUAGCAACGGAAUAAAUAAUAAUACAUUUUUAUUAUUUUAUUAUUUCAUAAUAAAACGACAGAAACUUUG